AGGCUCAUAGCUCAGUGGGAGAGCACUACCUUGACACGGUAGGGGUCAGCAGUUCAAAUCUGCUUGGGCCUA
rnacentral:tRNA from 1 species